rnacentral:tRNA from 1 species
GCCGAGGUGGCGAAAUUGGUAGCCGCACUAGCUUUAGGAGCUAGCGAUCGCAAGAUCUUGGGAGUUCGAGUCUCCCCCUCGGCA